AGAGUUUGAUCAUGGCUCAGGAUGAACGCCGGCGGCGUGCCUAACACAUGCAAGUCGAGCGAACCCUUCGGGGUGAGCGGCGGACGGGUGAGUAACGCGUGGGUAACCUGCCCUGUACACACGGAUAACAUACCGAAAGGUAUGCUAAUACGAGAUAAUAUGUAAUGAUCGCAUGGUCGAUACAUCAAAGCUCCGGCGGUACAGGAUGGACCCGCGUCUGAUUAGCUAGUUGGUGAGGUAAUGGCUCACC
rnacentral:rRNA from 1 species